rnacentral:misc_RNA from 1 species
GAUGAAGAACGUAGCGAAAUGCGAUACGUAAUGUGAAUUGCAGAAUUCAGUGAAUCAUCGAGUCUUUGAACGCACAUUGCGCCCCCUGGUAUUCCGGGGGGCAUGCCUGUCCGAGCGUCAUUGCUGCCCUCAAGCACGGCUUGUGUGUUGGGCCCCCGUCCCCGGUUUCCCCCGGGGACGGGCCCGAAAGGCAGCGGCGGCACCGCGUCCGGUCCUCGAGCGUAUGGGGCUUUGUCACCCGCUCUGUAGGCCCGGCCGGCGCCAGCCGACACCCAACUUUAUUUCUAAGGUUGACCUCGGAUCAGGUAGGGAUACCCGCUGAACUUAAGCAUAUCAAUAAGCGGAGGA